rnacentral:lncRNA from 1 species
CCUUGCAAACAGAAAGAUAAAACACGCACAAGUGAAAAUAUGGUAAAAAGACGAGUACGACUGCAAACACACAAGAAGGGUUUCUGUUUCUGAUGAAUAUUAACGUGUUGUCUACGUCUGAUAUCCACUAUUAUUGAGUAGCCUCACGACUUGACUUAGUCUUAUUGACAUUGAAUAUAUGUAGUCCCAACCCAUUAUCAUAACUGAUGAUGUAUAUCUGACAACUAAUGAAUUCAUGUUGCCCCAAAUUGUGAGAGUUUUCAAGCUG